GCUCUGUCUAGGCCUGGCGUGCAGUGGUUUCCUGCUUUACUAAGUGGCCGUUACUCUGUACUGAUGAUUCAUGAUGUUUGGAAAGUGUGGCUGUGCACUGAACAGGGAAGUGAAGAAUAACACAGCCAAGGUCAAGGCAGGACAAGACAGGACAAGACAGGACAGCACCAUUACCAGCGAUGCACUGUGUGGAAGACACAGAGGAUAGAGGCAGUCGUAAAUCUAGGUCUAGUGGUCCGUGGCAGAGUGGGCCUGUGCUCCUCCUUGCAGGUUUCCAAAAUUCCUUGGAGAGUGUGGCUUCACAACCAAACGGAAGAACAAAAGGACAAUUCUCAGAAGCACACCAAAAAUGAAACCAAAUAAAAACCCCAUAAAAAAUCCCUAUGUGGUAGAGGAAA